rnacentral:rRNA from 1 species
AUUGAACGCUAGCGGGAUGCUUUACACAUGCAAGUCGAACGGCAGCGCGGACUUCGGUCUGGCGGCGAGUGGCGAACGGGUGAGUAAUGUAUCGGAACGUGCCCAGUAGCGGGGGAUAACUACGCGAAAGCGUAGCUAAUACCGCAUACGCCCUACGGGGGAAAGCAGGGGAUCGUAAGACCUUGCACUAUUGGAGCGGCCGAUAUCGGAUUAGCUAGUUGGUGAGGUAACGGCUCACCAAGGCGACGAUCCGUAGCUGGUUUGAGAGGACGACCAGCCACACUGGGACUGAGACACGGCCCAGAAUCCUACGGGAGGCAGCAGUGGGGAAUUUUGGACAAGGGGGGCAACCCUGAUCCAGCCAUCCCGCGUGUGCGAUGAAGGCCUUCGGGUUGUAAAGCACUUUUGGCAGGAAAGAAACGUCGCGGGCUAAUACCCCGUGGAACUGACGGUACCUGCAGAAUAAGCACCGGCUAACUACGU